rnacentral:rRNA from 1 species
CAGUCGCCGCGGGAAUACGUAGGGUGCGAGCGUUAAUCGGAAUUACUGGGCGUAAAGCGUGCGCAGGCGGUUUUGUAAGACAGGCGUGAAAUCCCCGGGCUCAACCUGGGAAUGGCGCUUGUGACUGCAAAGCUAGAGUGCGGCAGAGGGGGAUGGAAUUCCGCGUGUAGCAGUGAAAUGCGUAGAUAUGCGGAGGAACACCGAUGGCGAAGGCAGCCCCCUGGGCCAAUACUGACGCUCAUGCACGAGAGCGUGGGGAGCAAACAGGAUUAGAUACCCCUGUAGUCCCUGUCUCUUAUAC